CACAGAUGACCAGAUAGGAACCAUGCAAUAUUCCCUGACUCUGGUCACGCCUCUGCCGGGAUCCAGGUUGAAUUUGCUCGUUCCCUCUCUCUCUCUCUCUCUCUCUCUCUCUCUCUCCAGACAGAGCCAAGUGCUGUGAGAGAAUGAGGGAAAGACUCAGGUCUGUCUGGGCCCAGGACCUGAGGGGACUGAAUAGGAGCUGCCCAGAGCAGAAGCAGAGAUACAGGAUGACUCCCCCCUUCACACUCCCGUGGGUGAAUGGCAUCAGCAUCACAGUUGCAAGGUUAGACCCUCUUUGCAUUUCUCCUCCUGAAUUACCUCAGAAGCUGGUGCAGAGCUGUGUGUGUUGGUGGUGGUGGGGGAAACAGAGCAGGGUGUCCUGGGAGUGACUGGGCCAUGUCUGGACACUCCAUUCCCUGGCUGUUCCCUCCCCUUCUUGGCUCUGUUUCCAGCUGUGUGUGUGCAAUGCCCAGCUCUGGCUUAUGGUGGUGGUGAGGAUUGAACCUGGGAGCUCAGAGUCUCUGGCAGGAAAUCCAUUUGCAUAACCAUUAUGCUGUCUCCCCACCCUCUUUGCUCUUCUUGGUGAGGACCGCUGCUUUGGCCAAGCCCCCAGAGCCAUCUGCAGGGGAUGGAUGUGAAAGUGAACUUGAGGAGUGGCCAAGGAAGUAGCCAUGCUCCCAGUAACCAUACACAGGCCCAUCAUAAGAACCCUGUGUAUCUGAGAACCAGCCAGGACUGUGGAGGCUGCUCGGCACGCCAGAGCACAAGACUCCCACAGAGAUCCCAGUUUGAUCCCAGGAACACAUAUGCCAGAGCUGAGUUGCUCUCUGGUCUGUCUCACUCAUGAAAACCAAAAACUGAGAGACGCAGAGAGGAGAGAGACACCACAUCACUGCUCCACGAUCCACACAGCUCCCUCACGCCAAUCCUGGUGCUUCCAUGUGGUACCUCCUGGGGCUUGAACCUGGGGCCUCAGCUUGGUGUUCUAUUGGGAGAGGCGGCCCAGGGCGUCACCUUGACACCAGCCUGUGCAGAAGCUCCUGGUAGCUGACCCUCCCGUCACUGUCCCCAUCGGCCCAAAGGCUCCUGCUGUCCAUUCCUGCUGCUUGCUUCUCCCCAGCUGGGCCAUGGUGUUUGCCAGCCUGUCGCCGACCUUGUCGAGGGGGCAGAAGGCUAGGUGGGUGUCCUCCUCCUCCACCUUCUCCUCCUGGACAUUCAGGGGCCUGAGUGAGAGGGACAUCACAACCAGGAACUCAGCCAGGUCCCUGGAGCCGUCACUGUCCCCAUCCUCACCCAGUGAGGAGAUGGCCUUCCUGAACUCAGCUAUGGCUGGGGCUCGGGUGCGGGCGCAGAGUGGGGGUGGGGGCAGGCUGGUGGCUUGCCAGCUGGCUGUGGGGGCCUAGCAGGACUGGCAGGAACUUAAGAAGGGCCAGGGUUCUGCCCCCCACUUGGGCUCCCCACCCUACCCUGCAGUCACCCCAGGCCUGGUCCUGUUUAAACAGGAGUCCAGCUCCAGAGCAAGGCAGCUAAUUGUGCUGACGCCACACUCCACCCCCAGACUCUCCCCUGUGCCCCCAC